CCCGCUGAACUUAAGCAUAUCAAUAAGCGGAGGAAAAGAAACUAACAAGGAUUCCCCUAGUAACUGCGAGUGAAGAGGGAAAAGCUCAAAUUUAAAAUCUGGCAGCUUCGCUGUCCGAGUUGUAAUUUAGAGAAGUGUUACCCGCGUUGGACCGUGUACAAGUCUCCUGGAACGGAGCGUCAUAGAGGGUGAGAAUCCCGUCUUUGACACGGACUACCAAGGCUUUGUGGUACGCUCUCGAAGAGUCGAGUUGUUUGGGAAUGCAGCUCUAAAUGGGUGGUAAAUUCCAUCUAAAGCUAAAUAUUGGCGAGAGACCGAUAGCAAACAAGUACCGUGAGGGAAAGAUGAAAAGAACUUUGGAAAGAGAGUUAAACAGUACGUGAAAUUGUUGAAAGGGAAACGCUUAAAGUCCAGUCGCGUUGGUUAGGAAUCAGCCUUGGUUUUCCUUGGUGUAUUUCCUAAUCGACGGGUCAACAUCAGUUUUGACCGUUGGAUAAAGGU
rnacentral:rRNA from 1 species